rnacentral:RNase_P_RNA from 1 species
CCAGAUGGUUGCGCAUAUCGAUGAUAUGUGAGGAAAGUCCGGGCUCCAUAGGACAGGGUGCAAGCUAACGGCUUGUGGAGGCGACUCUAAGGAAAGUGCAACAGAAAAUAACCGCCUGCCAUUGGUAGGUAAGGGUGAAAAGGCGAGGUAAGCGCUCACCCGGCGCUAUGGUGACAUAGCGCCGGUGUAAACCCCACCCGGAGCAACGCCUGAAUGGGAGGCUAAGCCGGUCCGGCAUCUCCCGAAACGGCGGCUUGAGGCGUGCGGUGACGUACGUCCCAGAUAGAUGACCAUCCACGACAGAACCCGGCUUAUGGUUU